AACGAACGCUGGCGGCAUGCCUAACACAUGCAAGUCGAACGAGACCUUCGGGUCUAGUGGCGCGCGGGUGCGUAACGCGUGGGAAUCUACCCUUGGGUUCGGAAUAACAGUUAGAAAUGACUGCUAAUACCGGAUGAUGACGUAAGUCCAAAGAUUUAUCGCCCAAGGAUGAGCCCGCGUAAGAUUAGCUUGUUGGUGGGGUAAUGGCCUACCAAGGCGACGAUCUUUAGCUGGUCUGAGAGGAUGACCAGCCACACUGGGACUGAGACACGGCCCAGACUCCUACGGGAGGCAGCAGUGGGGAAUAUUGGACAAUGGGCGAAAGCCUGAUCCAGCAAUGCCGCGUGAGUGAUGAAGGCCUUAGGGUUGAAAAGCUCUUUUACCAGGGAUGAUAAUGACAGUACCUGGAGAAUAAGCUCCGGCUAACUCCGUGCCAGCAGCCGCCGUAA
rnacentral:rRNA from 1 species